GUGACUCCAGCACCUUCCUGGGCAGUCCAUUCCAGUGCUUUACAACAAAUUCUGUGAAGAAAUUCUUCUUGAUGUCUAAUCUGAACCUCCCAAGGUGCAGCUGGGGGCCGUGUCCUCUUGUCUCUUGCUGUCUGGGAGAAGAGGGUGACUCCCACCUGGCUACAACCUCCUUUCAAGUAUUUAUGGAUUAUUUUCAAAGCUGAGCCACUAACAAGAAUCAGCCUUAUGAAGAAAGAGUAAUGCUCCAUUCAGAAUGCGACCUCUGAUCUUGGGAGCAGUGUUCAAGCUCAUCAUCAAAGUUUUGCUUGAAGGGCAACAACUUUUAAGCCAAGCGCUCUAGGAGAAUCUAAUACAAAAUCCCACUGAACUAUGCCAUAAGAUACAG